rnacentral:rRNA from 1 species
CCUGAGAAACCCGAAAGUUCGAAAGGGGAGAUUCAUCGUCAACGACCGCUGGCUUUUGUACGUUUCGCGAUGUCGCGGCGAGUGGCUCCGGCCUCGCGCCCGCGGUACGCGUCCGUAUGUUUUUUAGACCCGGUUCGUCGGCGUGCACUUCUCCUCUAGUAGGACGUCUUUACCCGUUGGGUGUCGGUAAACGGCACGAGCGGUUGCCUGUCGCGCGUCGCGUUACUUCUGCGGCGUUUGUCGCGCGACAGACCCUCGUUGCCCGGCCGGCUCUCGGCGGUAUUCGUACGAUAUCGAGUCGCCAGCUUUUCGCAUUUAUGCGUUGGUUGCGUCCCCGACCCGUCGCACGGUCGGCCACGCGUCUUGGGCUACGGACAUUGCGCCGUGCCCCGGCCUGGUCGAUCGCUUAGCGACGGUGUUCUCGGACCGGCUCAUUUAUCGGUCAGCGACGCUAUUGCUUCGGGUACUUUCAGGACCCGUCUUGAAACACGGACCAAGGAGUCUAACAUGUGCGCGAGUCAUUGGGAGUUGAAACCCAAAGGCGAAAUGAAAGUAAAAGUCGGCAUUGCGCCGACCGAGGGAAGAUGGGCCGCGCUAGACGC